AGCCCAGGGGGCUUCACGCUGUCCGUCAUGGGGGGUGGGCCCUGGCUGGGCAUGGACAGGGUCUGGUUGAAGGCCUCGUGGGGUCUGGACACCCUCAGCUGGGGGCCUGGGGCAAUUCACUCCUGGGUCCUCCUGGAGGACCGGUGGGCAGCUUCCUGGACACGAGGACUUGGUGCAGGGGGCCGAUGUACUGGGAAGGUGGUGAGAGUUGGACGUGGUGCUGGGUGGCCUGUGGACAGGAAGGAACUAUUUAGAGAGGCCCUUGGGGAGGGCUCAUUGAGUCAGGGGCUCAGCAGGACCCUUUGCUCCCCUGUGAGGGGCCUGGGGACAGGCAGGGCCUCCGUGGCUGUGACUGUGUUGCCAGAGCCUGGGGGUGCUGCUCCGGGAGUGCAGCGGGGUUCCCAUUGAGCUCUGGUACCCGCUGGGCUGCCAGGACCCCAUGUCGGAGUGGUGAGCCCUGGCCCAGCAUCCGUGUGUCAACACACGUGUGUGCGUGUGCAUAUGUUUGUGUGUCCAUGUGUGUGUCCAUGUGUGUGUGUUCCUGUGUGUUCAUGUGUUCGUGUGUGUGCGUGUGCAUGUGUGUGUGUGCAUGUGCAUGUGUGUGUAUGCAUGUGCCUGCAUCCUGAGGGAUGGCAUCUGCUAAGCACUGGUUCAGGCCACGGCUGCAGCAAAGCAGAGGGUGCAGGGUCCUGCACCUGCCUCCCUCAGGCCUCCUUCCUUCAGGUCUCAGACACUGGAGUCCAGGGUGACUCAGGGAAGCCGGUGCCUCCCCUGGCCCCAUCCCUGCACUCCUGGCUGGUGCCCUGGGCUGAGCCGGUUCCUCCAGCCUCAGUUUCCCCACUGCAGGGGGCUGCAUCUGCAGGGAAGGAGACCUGGUCUGGAGAGGCCCCUGGCCCCUCCUCGCUGAGGACCAGGCUGCCACCUGGUGGCCACCCACCCCUGCAGCACCUGCCUGCCUCCUGCAGGCUCCUGGAGGGGGCGAGGGCCAGAAAGGCGGGCAGAGCAGCUCUGGGGCCUGGGUGGGGGUGCUGCCUGGACCCCCAAGGUCUGCGUAUGUCUCGCUAAGCCUUCUGCCCCAUCCGUGUGUGUCUCUCCCCCUCGCCUGGCCAGGCCGUGGCCUCCAGCCUCACCUGUGCUCCCCUAUGCCUGGGCCAGGUGGUACCACGCCUGUCUGUCUGGCAAGGAGGCUGAGAAGCUGCUGCUGCAGAAGGGGAGUCCGGGCAGCUUCCUGGUGCAUGAGAGUCAGAGCAAUCCUGGUGACUUCCCGCUGUCAGCACUGAUGCAGGGGUGGGACAAGGCGUAGGGCGCAGGCCGCCAGCCACGGGUCACGCACAUCAUGACUCACUUCCAGGACGAGAAGUGGGAGACGGGGAGUGCUUUGACACCCUCGGAGACCCGGUGGAGCAUGAAGAGCCCGAUGAUGGGGAAGGUGGGGGCCAUUGUGCACCUCAAGCAGCCCCUCGAGGCCACGAGGAUCAGUGCUCGGAGCCUGGAGGGCUGUGUGCAGGAGUAGCAGGGCCACUGAUGCCAGCAGGAAGGCCAGGCAGGGCUUCUGGGUAGAGUUCAAGGUGCAUCCUGACUGCUGCCACCCUCAGACUCUGUCCCCUGGGGCUGGGGCAAGUGCCCGAUGGGAGCGCAGGGUCUGGGACUGUA